GACGAACGCUGGCGGCGUGCUUAACACAUGCAAGUCGAACGGAAAGGCCCUGCUUGCAGGGUACUCGAGUGGCGAACGGGUGAGUAACACGUGGGUGAUCUGCCCUGCACUUCGGGAUAAGCCUGGGAAACUGGGUCUAAUACCGGAUAGGAGCCAUUUUUAGUGUGAUGGUUGGAAAGUUUUUUCGGUGUAGGAUGAGCUCGCGGCCUAUCAGCUUGUUGGUGGGGUAAUGGCCUACCAAGGCGGCGACGGGUAGCCGGCCUGAGAGGGUGGACGGCCACAUUGGGACUGAGACACGGCCCAGACUCCUACGGGAGGCAGCAGUGGGGAAUAUUGCACAAUGGGCGCAAGCCUGAUGCAGCGACGCCGCGGGGGGGAUGACGGCCUUCGGGUUGUAAACUCCUUUCGCUAGGGACGAAGCUUUUUGUGACGGUACCUAGAUAAGAAGCACCGGCUAACUACGUG
rnacentral:rRNA from 1 species